GCCACGGUGGUCUAGCGCUCAGAACGCUGGCCUUGUAAGCCUGGGGUCCCGGAUUCAAUUCCCGGUGGUGCUC
rfam:Zootermopsis nevadensis contig9679, whole genome shotgun sequence.